AGUGAACGCUGGCGGUAGGCCUAACACAUGCAAGUCGAACGGCAGCACAGUAAGAGCUUGCUCUUACGGGUGGCGACUGGCGGACGGGUGAGGAAUACAUCGGCAUCUACUUUUUCGGGGGGGAUAACGUAGGAACACUUACGCUACUACCGCAUACGACCUACGGGUGAAAUCAGUAGAUCUUCGCACCUUGCGCGACUGAAUGAGACGAUGUCGGAUUAGCUAGUUGGCGGGGUAAAGGCACACCAAGGCAACGAUCCGUAGCUGGUCUGAGAGGAUGAUCAGCCACACUGGAACUGAGACACGGUCCAGACUCCUACGGGAGGCAGCAGUGGGGAAUAUUGGACAAUGGGCGCAAGCCUGAUCCAGCCAUACCGCGUGAGUGAAGAAGGCCUUCGGGUUGUAAAGCUCUUUUGUUGGGAAAGAAAAGCAGCGGGUUAAUCCCCCGCUGUUCUGACGGUACCCAAAGAGUAAGCACCGGCUAACUUCGUG
rnacentral:rRNA from 1 species